rnacentral:rRNA from 1 species
AUGUUUCUGCUUCACGAAUAUGAUAUUUUUUGGACAUUUUUAAUAAUAACAAGAUUUAUUCCUAUUUUGGCAUUUUCGAUUUCAGGGCUUUUAGCCCCGGUUAGUGAAGGACCGGAGAAGCUUUCUGGUUAUGAAUCGGGUAUAGAACCCAUGGGAGGGGCUUGGGUACAAUUCCGAAUAUGCUAUUAUAUGUUUGCGCUCGUUUUUGUUAUUUUUGAUUGGGAAACCGUCUUUCUAUACCCUUGGGCAAUGAAUUUCGACGUACUGGGUGUAUCCAUUUUUAUAGAAGCUUUGGUUCUCGUGCUUAUCUAG